rnacentral:rRNA from 1 species
AGCGAACGCUGGCGGCAGGCUUAACACAUGCAAGUCGAGCGGGCACUUUCGGGUGUCAGCGGCGGACGGGUGAGUAACGCGUGGGAACGUGCCCUCUGGUUCGGAAUAACUCAGGGAAACUUGAGCUAAUACCGGAUACGCCCUUUUGGGGAAAGGCUUGCUGCCGGAGGAUCGGCCCGCGUCUGAUUAGCUAGUUGGUGAGGUAACGGCUCACCAAGGCGACGAUCAGUAGCUGGUCUGAGAGGAUGAUCAGCCACACUGGGACUGAGACACGGCCCAGACCCCUACGGGGGGGAGGAGUGGGGAAAAUUGGAAAGGGGGCGCAAGCCUGACCCGCCCAUGCCGGGGGAGUGAUGAAGGCCUUGGGGUUGAAAAGCUCUUUUACCGGGGACGAAAAGGACGGAACGGGGGAAAUAAGCCCCGGCAAACUUCGG